GAUUGAAGAUGGUGAGUAUGAAGGACAAGAAUGAAUUUUGGAAGAAAGAAGUAAGCAAUGUGGAACCUCUUAGCUUGUUGUGAACAAAUUGUUAUGAAUUGCAAUUAAUGAAGGUGACAAUGUACAAUUGUAAGAUGGAUGCAAGAGAUGCAUCCUUCGCUUCACUGCUCCUUUGAAGCUUGUUGCGGAUACAUCCAUGCCUGCCUGCCUGCUACCACAUUGGAAAUAAACGGCUCUCGACUUUGAAAACGUUCUAACCAUUUGCCCAGGGGAGGCCAUAGUAGGGAGCAUCACUGUUUCACAUAGCAACAACAAUCAUCUUCAC